rnacentral:rRNA from 1 species
AUUGAACGCUGGCGGCAGGCUUAACACAUGCAAGUCGAGCGGAAACGAAAGGAGCUUGCUCCUUUGGCGUCGAGCGGCGGACGGGUGAGUAAUGCUUAGGAAUUUGCCCAGUUGAGGGGGAUAACUAUUGGAAACGAUAGCUAAUACCGCAUACGCCCUACGGGGGAAAGAAGGGGACCUUCGGGCCUUUCGCGAUUGGAUAAGCCUAAGUGAGAUUAGCUAGUUGGUGAGGUAAUGGCUCACCAAGGCGACGAUCUCUAGCUGGUCUGAGAGGAUGAUCAGCCACACUGGAACUGAGACACGGUCCAG